rnacentral:rRNA from 2 species
AAACUGAAGAGUUUGAUCCUGGCUCAGAUUGAACGCUGGCGGCAUGCCUUACACAUGCAAGUCGAACGGCAGCACGGGUGCUUGCACCUGGUGGCGAGUGGCGAACGGGUGAGUAAUACAUCGGAACAUGUCCUGUAGUGGGGGAUAGCCCGGCGAAAGCCGGAUUAAUACCGCAUACGAUCUACGGAUGAAAGCGGGGGACCUUCGGGCCUCGCGCUAUAGGGUUGGCCGAUGGCUGAUUAGCUAGUUGGUGGGGUAAAGGCCUACCAAGGCGACGAUCAGUAGCUGGUCUGAGAGGACGACCAGCCACACUGGGACUGAGACACGGCCCAGACUCCUACGGGAGGCAGCAGUGGGGAAUUUUGGACAAUGGGCGAAAGCCUGAUCCAGCAAUGCCGCGUGUGUGAAGAAGGCCUUCGGGUUGUAAAGCACUUUUGUCCGGAAAGAAAUCCUUGGCUCUAAUACAGCCGGGGGAUGACGGUACCGGAAGAAUAAGCACCGGCUAACUACGUGCCAGCAGCCGCGGUAAUACGUAGGGUGCAAGCGUUAAUCGGAAUUACUGGGCGUAAAGCGUGCGCAGGCGGUUUGCUAAGAC